UACGAAGGGGGGCUAGCGUUGCUCGGAAUCACUGGGCGUAAAGGGUGCGUAGGCGGGUCUUUUAAGUCAGAGGUGAAAUCCUGGAGCUCAACUCCAGAACUGCCUUUGAUACUGAGGAUCUUGAGUUCGGGAGAGGUGAGUGGAACUGCGAGUGUAGAGGUGAAAUUCGUAGAUAUUCGCAAGAACACCAGUGGCGAAGGCGGCUCACUGGCCCGAUACUGACGCUGAGGCACGAAAGCGUGGGGAGCAAACAGG
rnacentral:rRNA from 1 species